GAUGAACGCUGGCGGCGUGCCUAAUACAUGCAAGUCGAGCGAAUGGAUUAAGAGCUUGCUCUUAUGAAGUUAGCGGCGGACGGGUGAGUAACACGUGGGUAACCUGCCCAUAAGACUGGGAUAACUCCGGGAAACCGGGGCUAAUACCGGAUAACAUUUUGAACCGCAUGGUUCGAAAUUGAAAGGCGGCUUCGGCUGUCACUUAUGGAUGGACCCGCGUCGCAUUAGCUAGUUGGUGAGGUAACGGCUCACCAAGGCAACGAUGCGUAGCCGACCUGAGAGGGUGAUCGGCCACACUGGGACUGAGACACGGCCCAUACUCAGUCGGGGGGCAGCAGUAGGGAAUCUUCCGCAAUGGACGAAAGUCUGACGGAGCAACGCAGCGUGAGUGAUGAGGGCUUUCGGGUCGGAAAACUCUGUUGUUAGGGAAGAACAAGUGCUAGUUGAAUAAGCUGACACCUUGACGGUACCUAACCAGAAAGCCACGGCUAACUACGUGCCAGCCGCCGCCGUAA
rnacentral:rRNA from 1 species